CUGCUGCAGCAGCAGCAGACACAGCAGCAGCACAGGCUGCCGCAGCAGCUGCAGCAGCAGCAGCCACAGCAGAAAUAUUAUUAGCAGCUGUAGCAGCAGCAGCAGCAGCAGCUGCUGCUGCUGCUGCUGCUGACAGUGGUGCAGCAGGUGAUUGCAGGUUUUAUUAUUCUCAGCCGCAGGCAGCAGCAGCACAGCAGCAGAUAGAUCUUGUACAGCAGCACCCGCUGCUGCUGCACCUGCUGCUGCUGCUGCAGCAGCAGCUGCUGCUGCUGCUGCAGCAACUGGUGCAGCAGCAGCU
rnacentral:ncRNA from 1 species